rnacentral:rRNA from 1 species
AACGAACGCUGUCGGCAGGCUUAACACAUGCAAGUCGAACGCCCCGCAAGGGGAGUGGCAGACGGGUGAGUAACGCGUGGGAACAUACCCUUUCCUGCGGAAUAGCUCUGGGAAACUGGAAUUAAUACCGCAUACGCCCUACGGGGGAAAGAUUUAUCGGGGAAGGAUUGGCCCGCGUUGGAUUAGCUAGUUGGUGGGGUAAAGGCCUACCAAGGCGACGAUCCAUAGCUGGUCUGAGAGGAUGAUCAGCCACAUUGGGACUGAGACACGGCCCAAACUCCUACGGGAGGCAGCAGUGGGGAAUAUUGGACAAUGGGCGCAAGCCUGAUCCAGCCAUGCCGCGUGAGUGAUGAAGGCCUUAGGGUUGUAAAGCUCUUUCACCGAUGAAGAUAAUGACGGUAGUCGGAGAAGAAGCCCCGGCUAACUUCGUGCCAGCAGCCGCGGUAAUAC